UUUUUUGUGGACUAGUGGUUAGGCUUUGGUGCUCUCACCGCUGCGGCCCGGGUUCGAUUCCCAGUCAGGAAA
rnacentral:tRNA from 1 species